UCCGGCAUAGCUCAGUCGGUAGAGUAGGUGGCUGUUAACCACCCCGUCGCAGGUUCGAGUCCUGCUGCCGGAGCCA
rnacentral:tRNA from 1 species